GUGUUCUUAUAGGUGUCCAGUCUCAGGCACGUUGAUGUUGACGUCCUGGAUGGUCUGCUUUUUCUUCUCUCUCCUAUUUCUUUAUCUCCUUGUCCUGCAUCUUAUGCCUCAUUUUGUCCAUCUCCGUCUGCCGGCCUUUUUUUUUUUUUUAAGCACAGGCAGAUGUUUUUAAGGACUGUUUUGUUGUCCUCUAAUUCUUGGAUCCUGCUGAUAAGGAUCUGUUGUUCUUUGGGGAUGGUAUCCUCCGUUUGUUGGAUCUUAGCGAUCAGGCACAACGCAGUGAAACCACUGCUUGUGACCAUCUCGUGGUGGGUAACCUCUUGGCAGGUUGUAAAAAAAAAAUGAAAUGAAAUGUGUGCAAUAUAAAUUAACAGUACAGUUAAUUAAAGCCGACCAAUUAAAAAAUAAAAAAUAACAAAACAAUAUUUAAAUAAAUGUACAUGAAAUAAAAAUAAGGCAGAAAUCAGGUAAGGGAAAUGUGCAAACCUGAUUAGGUUGUAAAAAAAAUAAGCAGCCAGAGAAUCCCUCUGGGAUCUUUUUUUUUUUUUAGAUCUUUCUUUUUUAGAUCUCUUUUUUUCAGAUCUCUUUUUUUUUUUUUAGAUCUUUUUUUAUUCUUUCAGGGUAGAUGGAUGAGGUAGGAUGGAGUGGGAGGUGAAGGAAGGUGUUCUUACAGGUGUCCAGUCUCAGGCACGUUGAUGUUGACGUCCUGGAUGGUCUGCUUUUUCUUCUCUCUCCUAUUUCUUUAUCUCCUUGUCCUGCAGCUUAUGCCUCAUUUUUGUCCAUCUCCGUCUGCCGGUCUUUUUUUUUUUUUUAAGUACUGGCAGAUGUUUUCAAGGACUGUUUUGUUGUCCUCUAAUUCUUGGAUCCUGCUGAUAAGGAUCUGUUGUUCUUUGGGGAUGGUAUCCUCCGUUUGUUGGAUCUUAGCGAUCAGGCACAACGCAGUGAAACCACUGCUUGUGACCAUCUCGUGGUGGGUAACCUCUUGGCAGGUUGUAAAAAAAAAAUGAAAUGAAAUGUGUGCAAUAUAAAUUAACAGUACAGUUAAUUAAAGCCGACCAAUUAAAAAAUAAAAAAUAACAAAACAAUAAUUAAAUAAAUGUACAUGAAAUAAAAAUAAUGCAGAAAUGAGGUAAGUGAAAUGUGCAAACCUGAUUAGGUUGUAAAAAAAAUAAGCAGCCAGAGAAUCCCUCUGGGAUCUUUUUUUUCUUUAGAUCUUUCUUUUUUAGAUCUCUUUUUUUCAGAUCUCUUUUUUUUUUUUUUAGAUCUUUUUUUAGUUUUUUCAGGGUAGAUGGAUGAGGUAGGAUGGAG
ensembl:lncRNA